AAUCAACGCUGGCGGCGUGCCUAACACAUGCAAGUCGCACGAGAAAGGGUAGCAAUACCUGAGUAAAGUGGCGCACGGGUGAGUAACACGUGACUAAUCUACCCUCGAGUGGGGAAUAACUGAGAGAAAUCUUAGCUAAUACCGCAUAACACUUACGAGUCAAAGCAGCAAUGCGCUUGGGGAGGAGGUCGCGGCCGAUUAGCUAGUUGGCGGGGUAA
rnacentral:rRNA from 1 species